rnacentral:rRNA from 1 species
UGCAAGUCGCACGUCCUCUUUUUUCUUCGGAAGAGGGAGGGAGUGGCGGACGGGUGAGUAACACGUGGGUGACCUACCCCAAGGUGAGGGAUACCGGGGCGAAAGCCUCGACAAGCCCGCAUAGGUUUUCCUCUUCGCUGAGGGAAGCAAAGCCGAAAGGCGCCAUGGGAGGGGCCUGCGUCCGAUUAGCUGGUUGGUGGGGUAAAAGCUUACCAAGGCGACGAUCGGUAGCUGGUCUGAGAGGACGAGCAGCCACACUGGGAUUGAGAACGGCCCAGACUCCUACGGGGGGCAGCAGUGAGGAAUAUUCGGCAAUGGGCGCAAGCCUGACCGAGCAACGCCGCGUGCAGGAAGACACUUUUCGGAGCGUAAACUGCUUUUCUGUGGGAAGAGGAAGGACGGUACCACAGGAACAAGCCUCGGCUAACUACGUGCCAGCAGCCGCGGUAAUACGUAGGAGGCAAGCGUUGUCCGGAGUUACUGGGCGUAAAGGGCGUGUAGGCGGUUCGCAGCGUCUGGGGUGACAGCUCUCGGCUCAACUGAGAGAGCAUUCUGGAAACGAGCGGACUUGAGGGACGCAGAGGGAAGGGGAAUUCCGCGUGGAGCGGUGAAAUGCGUAGAGAUGCGGAAGAACACCGAAGGCGAAGGCACCUUCCUGGGCGUCAUCUGACGCUGAGGCGCGAAAGCCAGGGGAGCGAACGGGAUUAGAUACCCCGGUAGUCCUGGCAGUAAACGAUGACCACUAGCUAUGCGCAGUAUCGACCCUGUGCGUAUCGAAGCUAACGCGCUAAGUGGUCCGCCUGGGGAGUACGGUCGCAAGACUAAAACUCAAAGGAAUUGACGGGGACCCGCACAAGCAGCGGAGCGUGUGGUUUAAUUCGAUGCAACGCGAAGCACCUUACCAGGGCUUGACAUGCUUUCGCACCAGUGGUAAUGCACUGUUCUCUUCGGAGACGGGAGCACAGGUGCUGCAUGGCUGUCGUCAGCUCGUGUCGUGAGAUGUUGGGUUAAGUCCCGCAACGAGCGCAACCCCUGUGACUGGUUGUAUAGUGUCCAGUCAGACUGCCGUGACCAACACGGAGGAAGGUGGGGAUGACGUCAAGUCAGCAUGGCCCUGACGUCCUGGGCGACACACACGCUACAAUGGCCGGAACAAAGGGAAGCCAACCAGCGAUGGGGAGCCGAUCCCAGCAAACCCGGUCUCAGUUCAGAUUGCAGGCUGCAACCCGCCUGCAUGAAGGAGGAGUUGCUAGUAAUCCGUGGGUCAGCACACCACGGUGAAUACGUUCCCGGGUCUUGUACACACCGCCCGUCACACCACGAAAGUCGGCAACACCUGAAGCCGCCGGGCUAACCUCAUAGGAGGAGGU